AGAGAUUGCUAUGAACAUUUUCUUUGCCUAAUAUAACAUUAAUAUUACCACCUAGGACAUGUCAGUGUAUGUGUGUGUGUGUGUGUGUGUGUGUGUGUGUGUGUGUGUGUGUGUGUGUGCACCAGUGUGCAUUUUCAAACUAGGCCUUUAAGAGUGUAAUCUAAGUAUUUACAGUGUAACUAUAGUAACAAUUUAAUGUGGGCAUUCAUCUCAAAGUAGGAAAGUCAUUUGUUAUGAAAGCUGUAUUUGUGUCAAGUUAAGACACGGCUUUGAUUCUUGUUUAUAAUAACUCUGAUUUGUCUUGCCCCAUUUACUAGUUUUUCUUUUUUUUUUAUAUCUCUCUCCAAUGUAUGUAUGCUCAUCAAAACACUCUUAUUUGCUGCUGAAAACCACUUCUGCUGUAUGUUAUUUACAAAUGAUGGCCUUGCAAUUCCUGUGUGAGUGUUACAUGUAUAUGGGACUGGUGUUUGUGUUUUUGACUCCUGUCCGUUGGGGUCUUACCAUAUUUCAUAACAAGCAAACUACAUUACAUUGUAUUGUAUCUUAUAGGUUACACUAUGAUUAUUGUGUGCUCACAUGAUCUAAGUUAUGGGCAUCAGUUAAGUUUCACUGUUUUUUAAGAAAGAAAAUAAUGAAGAAUGCACUUUACAUAGGUAACUUGAAGAAAAAUCAUCAUCUCUUGACAUUUUUCCAAUACAGUCUGAUUUUCAUAAACUAUUUAUUAAGUGGAUGGAAUAAAUGAGAAUGGAAAAUACUUUGAGACAAUUUGUAUAAAGAGGGAGCUUUUCCUGGUGGUUGCUUUUCCAGAACAAAAUGAUUCACAGACAUGCAUGGACAUAGGGGACAAUAUGAAAAAAAAUUUGAAUACAGUAUAUAGCAGUGUAUGGAUGGAAGAGAAAGAAAAAAGUCAAGGAUGUGAAGGUUCAGGGAGGAAUGUUUGGUGAUCAGCACAAUAUGACAUGAAUGGCUUGUGGGAUGUAUAAUUGUUUCCUUCCACACACAGAAUUGGUGGUAUACAAAGCCAUGUCCAGUUAAAUGAUAUAGACAGACCAGGUGAUCCUCUAAUGCACUGACUAAUAAGUGCUUGAAUUGUGAUAUGAAAAAUGUGUUCAUUGUAGUAUGUCAUAGUCCUUCAGAUAAUAGCUUAUCUGUUUAUUGUGUUAAGAGUCUAUCAGUGAGUGCUGACUGUUACUCAACUAGUGGGUAGUUGCCUGAUUUCAUGGUGAGGCUAAUGAAACUGGAAAAACAUUUCUCUUCACUUGCUUGUCAUGCAAGCAGUUUCUGAAUUUUACAUUUAUUUUCCAAGACAUUAUUAUGCUAGACAUUACAGAUGUCUAGACAUUACAGAUAAGCAAGAUUCAGGACAAUUAUAAUUAGAGAUAACUGUAACACACCUGAGUCAUGCAGUACAAGGUUGAUUGCUGAUUAGACCGUGGGUUCUCAACCUUUUUGCAAGCUGGGCACUCCCAAGGCUGGCUGGUUCACUGCAGUUGGGUCCCCUGUCCUCCCUGUGCCACCCACUCAACCCCUCCCCAACUAUGUCACCAUAGAUAGAUAGAUAGAAUCAAAUAGGUAGAUAGAUAGAUAGAUAGAUAGCUCUUGGCUAUUAUUGUAUUGACCCACAUCAUCAUCAUCAUUAUUAUUAUUAUUAUUAUUAUUAUUAUUAUUAUUAUUAUUAUUAUUAUUAUUGUUGUUGUUGUUGUUGUUGUUGUUGUUGUUGUUGUUGUUGUUGUUGUUGUUGUUAUUUAUUUAUUUAUUUAUUCAUAUAUUUAUUUUUAUUUAUUUUCCUCCCCUCCCAUCCUGUGCUCAUGCUUCCCCAGGAGUGUGUCUGUUCCCCCACACCCCUGCCUCCCCAGUUGAGAACCACUGGAUUAGACAAUUCAGUCUCACACACAAGUAGUCUUACUUUUUUUCAUUAUGUUUAAAGAAGUGUUCCUAUUGUGCCUAUAAUGAAGUUUAUUCUUAUAAUGAAUACUCCUUCAAGUUGCAAUUAUUAUAAGCCUUUUUUUUUUUUUUUUUUCUUUUUCUUUUUUUUUUCAUUUAUGUAUUCUCAUAUAUUAUUUUAUUUUAUUUUGUAUUUAUAUAUAUUUCUUCCUCAUUAUUCUUUCAAGAGCAGUGCUUUUCUGCUUUACUGUUAAUUCUUUUCUAUGACUGCAAAGCAAGCUUCUGCUAAGUUCAAGGUUCACACACACACACACACACACACACACACACACACACACACACACACACACACACACACACACACACACACACACACACACACACACACACACACACUCAACAUACAUUUACUUCACAUCUAUUUUUACUAUUUUGAGAUAGUACUUGUUUACUAUGCUAUCAUGAUUUUUGCCAAGAUGAUAAUUCUAACUUUGCCUUCCGUAAAUAGUCUAAAGUACAUAUACGUGUACUAUAAUUUGGUUCUUCUUUAUGGUGAAGGUAUUUUCACAGUGAACUCAUUGGGAUGGACUAAGUAUUGUAAGACUGCUUUGAAGUGGAAAACAUAAGGUUUUGUAAAAUUUGUAUGAAACUUAUCAAUGUAUAUUGUUAAUAUUGGUUUCUAACUUUCAAAAAAGCUCCUUUUAAAGUUUGUAUAAAUGACAUAGAAGUCCACCCCAAGGUACAGACUAUGGCCUUCCCUGACUUUGAUAAGUUGGCUGAAAUUACCAAUGAUGUCGUCAAAGGAAAUCCCAUCCAGCAGGUUUCUAAGAUUAAAUCUGAUGGCUGCCAAAUCAUGUAGAGCAGGUGACUUCUCCUUAAGUAAGACUGGUUUGAAGUGGAAAACAUAAGGUUUUGUAAAGUUUGUAUGAAACUAAUCAAUGUAUUUUGUUAAUAUUGCUUUCUAACUUUCAAACAAGCUCCUUUUAAAGUUUGUAUAAAUGACAUAGAAAUCCACUCCAAGGUACAGACUAUGGCCUUCCCUGACUUUGAUAAGUUGGCUGAAAUUACCAGUAAUGUUGUCAAAGGAAAUCCCAACCAGCAGGUUUCUAAGAUUAAGUCUGGUGGCUGCCAAAUCAUGUAGAGCAGGUGACUUGUCUCUCCCCUGUAUUUAACAGGGAGAGACAAGUCACCUGCUCCUCAUGUUUGUCUUUAUGAAUGUAGCGCUCUCUCUCUCUCUCUCUCUCUCUCUCUCUCUCUCUCUCUCUCUCUCUCUCUCUCUCUCUCUCUCUCUCUCUCUCUCUCUCUCUCUCUCUCUCUCUCUCUCUCUCUCUCUCUCUCUCUCUCUCUCUCUCUCUCUCUCUCUCUCAGGGUUUCCCCAAAUGAAUAUCCAUGGUAGACAACCCUCCACCUCCAUAUCCAACCACUCUUUCCUGAUUUGUUUAUGCAUUUAGUAUUUAAUUUGAUUUAUAAAAUGGGCAUUAAAUUACUAAAAUUUGCAUGAAAUUACCAUAAAUAUAUGAAUUAUUAUUGUAUUCAUAAUUUAAUUGCAAAGAUAACAUUGAAAAUACUGCACAUAAAAACUGCUUGCUUAUUUAUUACCUUAAUAAUGUAUGUGUAUAUUCUUGUUAUGUUAGCAAGAUAUUUGCAGCAUCUUUGUGGAGGGAAGGGUGACAACAAGGUUCAGAGUAGUGCAUAGUAUUUCUUAAUAUCUUAAGUUUCAAAAGUUAUAGUCACCAGAGGAUGUACUACAGUAAGGGAUGAAAAUAGUGGUUAUAUGGGAUAGCUUCAAAGGAUUGAGUAGAGGAAUACUUUGCCUGUUUCACUUAAGUGACAUUGUACCAUUAGGUUGUAUUCAAUAAGGUAUCUAAUCAUGUUUUUGUGGCAGUGAAAAUUGACAAGAGUUCAUUGUCAUGAACCAUUUUAAUAGCUCAAGGAUGGAGUAGAAAGAAAGAAGAUUUAGGAACAACAGACUGUCUACUAGAGGAGUGGAAGAAAGAGAUAGAGAAGGACAGGACAGGGAAUCACUGGAAGAGGAAUGUACCAAAAUGAGAAUUUGCUUGUAAGAGGAUUAGUAGAACACAGAAAAAAGAGAAAAGUGACCAAGCAAAAUUUGGGUUGAGAACUGGUGCCAAAGUCUGCAGGGAUGCACCACAUGGGAGCACCAAUCUUGAUCUUGGACUCCUGUCCUCAACCCUGAUAUCCUUCCAUGAUGACAACAUCCCUAA